rnacentral:rRNA from 1 species
GACAGAGGCCACAAACGUUAGGCGGAAUCACUGGGCUUAAAGCGUGUGUAGGCGGACCGUUAAGUGCCUUGUGAAAUCCCCCGGCUCAACCGGGGAAUGGCUGGGCAUACUGGCGGUCUUGAGCCACCUAGGGGCAACUGGAACAAGCGGUGGAGCGGUGAAAUGCGUAGAUAUCGCUUGGAACGCCAAAGGUGAAAACAGGUUGCUGGGGGUGUGCUGACGCUGAGACACGAAAGCCAGGGGAGCAAACGGG